UCACUGCCAGCUUUCCUGCAACAUUUCGUCUGACCCAUUGUGUGAACGCUACGGACGAGUUUCAACACGCUCAGCUUCUGUUUUGCUGCUGAUUUCAACACCAAAUCCAAAAGUGGCGCAAUCGGCUUGGAUAUUCACGUUAGGGUUGGAAAAACAUGAAAGCAAAAAGUUUCACAAACCAGUUGAAUUUCCUUUUUCAGGCCUGCUGCCUUCAGGUACAGUCCAACAUACAGUAUGCUGAAUUCAGAUCGCGCCAGCCAAACUGCUGCAGGCUUUUGUAGCUGCACCAGGGAGAGGCGUUUGAGCUUCUUUGGGUUUCAGAAAGUUCAACCUGAGAUCAGCCAAAACAAGUGUGCAACAACUGUGGGACCAUUGGACUUACGAGGAAGCACUUUCAAAAGCUUCAACAACAACUGAGCAUGAACCAAGGAUUGAACACGUUUUGCACCCCCCCCCCCCCCCAUCAUGGGCGUCGCCAGACAUAUUUCACUGGGGCACGUGCCCUGGUAUGAAUUUCACUGGUACAAAAACAAAGAAAUAAAAUACUUUGGAGUUUUAAGUCUACAUAGCAUAAUUUACAGAAUGUGCCUAUAUUUAAUAUGGUCUUAUUACUCUAUUCACUCCAUGUACACAAUCUGCACAUGGCUCCUACGGUAAUUUAUGCACGUGACUUUGGCUGUGGUAGGCAUGAGUUGAUA